GGCACUUAUUUACAGUAGAAAAGUUCAUGUUCCACUCUCAGUCUCUUUCAACUCACUCUCUCUCAAAUUGAAACUGGUGACCUUUUACACUCUCUCUCUCAACAUUGAUACUGGCCUCUGUUUCUUCUUUCUUUCUUCCAUUGUAUACAAUGUUUUUUUACUGCUUUCAUUUACUUGUUUUUGGAGCAACAAAUUAGGGGAGUUGUGUAUGACGAUGAUGUUGGACGAAUUUCAAGAUAUCUAAAGGGUGGUUAUGACCUCAUAGUUGAUGGUUCUAUAUUUCCUUUCGAGAGACAUUAUGGUUGCUUCCAAUAACUAUAGACGAGACAGAGUUCAAAAUAAAGAAUUAAUAAUGAUGGUUCCCACUACUCAUUAUUUUAUUUCAUGCGCUGCCGCAUCUGGAUUAUACCUAGAAAAAGUACAACUUUAGUUUAUGGUGUCUGUUGUACUUCAGAGAUCUGGUGAGUUUUCAGUAUAGCUCCUCCUAUCAGUUUCUUCCCUUCCAUAUUAUACACAUAUACAAUGACUACACAUGUGCCAUAAAUGAAUCGCAUAGUUCAACCUUUGAAGAAGUGACGCACUGCUGGUUAGUAUGGCCACAAUCCUUUACUAAUGAUGUUUACAAUUUCUACGGUUUCCGUCCCUUAGAACUGUUUGCAAUAUGCAGGUUAUGUAAAAAAUAAAAAACCUAUGAUUCAUAUUAAUCGGUUGCGCUCCAACUAUCAUUGAGAAUUCUUAUCGAUAUUAAUAAAGGUUGGGGUGCUCAUCGUGAAGUUGUCUUUUUAGUAUGCAUAAGUUUUUUGGAUAACACUUUUUAGUUGCAUUUGAAGUCGAAUUACUUCAAACCUACAGUUGGUGAAUCCACAAAGUGAAGCCAGUAAUAUUCUUUUAAUUUUUUGAGUUCUUUGGUUCCAACUGGUUUACCUUUUCCAUCUAGAAUCUAAAAAUUCAUUCGAUGAGAUAACUUCUUCGUUCUAGUGAUUCUUUUCUGCUGUCUUUAUUCGAUUACAACACUUUGUUUGUUGAUAUUCUCCAUUUGUUGGCGUAUAUUUUAUUUUUUUUAAUUCUUAUUUCUUUGGCGAGUAUCUGUUAAUUGCUCUUUCGUUACUGAAACCCCCAGCUGAAGCUCUUGAAAUUGUAGAGAAACCAUAAGAAGAGGUUUUUUCUAGGCCUAUGAUCAACAAUGAUGUUCCGUCAUCUCGGACCUUUCAUCUCUUCAAAUAGUCCAGCACUUCUUUGUUGGGUGUGGAAUUGGCCAAACAAGUCAAUUCUUUUGUUCACAUAGUCGUGAUGUAAGCGCUUACCUCAUGAUAGUCGUGAUGUAAGCGCUUACCUCAUCAUAGGAAAUUCAUUCCUAUAAAUAGGUAGCUUAUGGUUCAUUUGUAAAACACACCAAAUUGAAGAAGACAACACAUCCCAAAGAGAGAGAAAAAUCUAAGAGAAAUACUCUUAGUGAAAGGCCUAAGUAAGAGAAGGUCUUUGAGAGAAUUUUCUGUGGUAAAAUUCUUGAGUGUAAUUGGGA